CAUGUUAUGAUGAAAACCUUACUCAGCUCACUCAGAGUCUCUGGCGAUGCUGAUAAUCUUUUCCUAAUCCAACUUAUUUUCUGACAACGGA
rnacentral:snoRNA from 1 species